UGGUAGGUGUCAGGUGAGGAUGGUCAGUGUCAGGUGAGGAUGGUCAGUGUCAGGUGUGGAUGGUCAGUGUCAGGUGAGGAUGGUCAGUGUCAGGUGAGGAUGGUAGGUGUCAGGUGAGGAUGGUAGGUGUCAGGUGUGGAUGGUCAGUGUCAGGUAAGGAUGGUAGGUGUCAGGUGAUGAUGGUAGGUCUCAGGUGAUGAUGGUAGGUGUCAGGUGAGGAUGGUAGGUUUCAGGUGAGGAUGGUAGGUGUCAGGUGAUGAUGGUAGGUGUCAGGCGAGGAUGGUAGGUGUCAGGUGAGGAUGGUAGGUGUCAGGUGAGGAUGGUAGGUGUCAGGUGAUGAUGGUAGGUGUCAGGUGAGAAUGGUAGGUGUCAGGUGAGGAUGGUCAGUGUCAGGUGAGGAUGGUCAGUGUCAGGUGAGAAUGGUAGGUGUCAGGUGAGGAUGGUAGGUGUCAGGUUAGGAUGGUCAGUGUCAGGUGAUGAUGGUCAGUGUCAGGUGAGGAUGGUAGGUGUCAGGUGAGGAUGGUAGGUGUCAGGUGAGAAUGGUAGGUGUCAGGUGAGGAUGGUAGGUGUCAGGUGAGGAUGGUCAGUGUCAGGUGAGAAUGGUCAGUGUCAGGCGAGGAUGGUAGGUGUCAGGUGAGGAUGGUAGGUGUCAGGUGAGGAUGGUAGGUGUCAGGUGAGGAUGGUAGGUGUCAGGUGAGGAUGGUAGGUGUCAGGUGAGGAUGGUAGGUGUCAGGUGAGGAUGGUAGGUGUCAGGUGAGGAUGGUAGGUGUCAGGUGAGGAUGGUAGGUGUCAGGUGAGAAUGGUAGGUGUCAGGUGAGAAUGGUAGGUGUCAGGUGAGGAUGGUAGGUGUCAGGUGAGGAUGGUGAGUGUCAGGCGAGGAUGGUAGGUGUCAGGUGAGGAUGGUAGGUGUCAGGUGAGGAUGGUAGGUGUCAGGUGAGGAUGGUAGGUGUCAGGUGAGGAUGGUAGGUGUCAGGUGAGGAUGGUCAGUGUCAGGUGAGAAUGGUAGGUGUCAGGUGAGGAUGGUAGGUGUCAGGUGAGGAUGGUCAGUGUCAGGUGAGAAUGGUAGGUGUCAGGUGAGGAUGGUAGGUGUCAGGUGAGGAUGGUCAGUGUCAGGCGAGGAUGGUAGGUGUCAGGUGAGGAUGGUAGGUGUCAGGUGAGGAUGGUAGGUGUCAGGUGUGGAUGGUAGGUGUCAGGUGAGGAUGGUAGGUGUCAGGUGAGGAUGGUAGGUGUCAGGUGAGGAUGGUCAGUGUCAGGCGAGGAUGGUAGGUGUCAGGUGAGGAUGGUAGGUGUCAGGUGAGGAUGGUCAGUGUCAGGUGAGAAUGGUAGGUGUCAGGUGAGGAUUGUAGGUGUCAGGUGAGGAUGGUAGGUGUCAGGUGAUGAUGGUAGGUGUCAUGUGAGGAUGGUAAGUGUCAGGUGAGGAUGGUCAGUGUCAGGUGAGGAUGGUAGGUGUCAGGUGUGGAUGGUAGGUGUCAGGUGUGGAUGGUAGGUGUCAGGUGAGAAUGAUCAGUGUCAGGUGAGGAUGGUCAGUGUCAGGUGAGGAUGGUAGGUGUCAGUUGAGAAUGGUAGGUGUCAGGUGAGGAUGGUAUGUGUCAGGUGAGGAUGGUAGGUGUCAGGUGAGGAUUGUAGGUGUCAGAUGAGGAUGGUAGGUGUCAGGUGAGAAUGGUCGGUGUCAGGUGAGAAUGGUAGGUGUCAGGUGAGGAUUGUAGGUGUCAGAUGAGGAUGGUAGGUGUCAGGUGAGAAUGGUCAGUGUCAGGUGAGGAUUGUAGGUGUCAGAUGAGGAUGGUAGGUGUCAGGUGAGAAUGGUAGGUGUCAGGUGAGGAUUGUAGGUGUCAGAUGAGGAUGGUAGGUGUCAGGUGAGAAUGGUAGGUGUCAGGUGAGGAUGGUAGGUGUCAGGUGAGGAUUGUCAGUGUCAGGUGUGGAUGGUAGGUGUCAGGUGUGGAUGGUAGGUGUCAGGUGAGGAUGGUAGGUGUCAGGUGAGGAUGGUAGGUGUCAGGUGAGGAUUGUCAGUGUCAGGUGUGGAUGGUAGGUGUCAGGUGAGGAUUGUCAGUGUCAGGUGUGGAUGGUAGGUGUCAGGUGUGGAUGGUAGGUGUCAGGUGAGGAUGGUAGGUGUCAGGUGAGGAUGGUAGGUGUCAGGUGAGAAUGGUAGGUGUCAGGUGAGGAUGGUAGGUGUCAGGUGAGGAUUGUCAGUGUCAGGUGUGGAUGGUAGGUGUCAGGUGAGGAUUGUCAGUGUCAGGUGUGGAUGGUAGGUGUCAGGUGUGGAUGGUAGGUGUCAGGUGAGGAUGGUAGGUGUCAGGUGAGAAUGGUCAGUGUCAGGUGUGGAUGGUAGGUGUCAGGUGUGGAUGGUCAGUGUCAGAUGAGGAUGGUCAGUGACAGGUGUGGAUGGUAGGUGUCAGGUGUGGAUGGUAGGUGUCAGGUGUGGAUGGUAGGUGUCAGGUGAUGAUGGUAGGUGUCAUGUGAGGAUGGUAGGUGUCAGGUGAUGAUGGUAGGUGUCAGGUGAGGAUGGUCAGUGUCAGGUGAGGAUGGUAGGUGUCAGGUGUGGAUGGUAGGUGUCAGGUGAUGAUGGUAGGUGUCAGGUGUGGAUGGUAGGUGUCAGGUGUGGAUGGUAGGUGUCAGGUGUGGAUGGUAGGUGUCAGGUGAGGAUGGUAGGUGUCAGGUGAGGAUGGUAGGUGUCAGGUGAGGAUGCUCAGUGUCAGGUGAGGAUGGUAGGUGUCAGGUGUGGAUGGUAGGUGUCAGGUGAGGAUGGUCAGUGUCAGGUGAUGAUGGUAGGUGUCAGGUGAGGAUGGUAGGUGUCAGGUGUGGAUGGUCAGUGUCAGGUGAGGAUGGUCAGUGUCAGGUGAGGAUGGUCAGUGUCAGGUGAGGAUGGUCAGUGUCAGGUGAGGAUGGUCAGUGUCAGGUGAGGAUGCUCAGUGUCAGGUGAGGAUGGUCAGUGUCAGGUGAGGAUGCUCAGUGUCAGGU